UUUAGCCGAGCAGCGGAAAGGCAGCUGCCAACCAAGCACAGAGAGAUUUGAUGCUUGACGCCAGGAGUCACAAUUGAAUUCGGAGCGGAAGCAGCGUUCCCGGAUUCCUUCUGCCCUCAGAAGACAGAGCUCGGCUUCCCUCUGCGGGGAAAGGGCCUAAUUCGUUUCUCCUGACACGGCUGGGAGCGGGGGUGCCUGAGUGGAGAGAAAACGGAUCCUCUCGGUACAGAAGCGCAAAGACACCGAAUCCUGAUUGAGAAGAUGCUUAAAACCCGGGUCUCCACGCUUGUGCUGAUCCUUGUUUCCAGCGGAGCGGUGGACACGAAGGUUUCUCAGCCUGCUGCGCUGUCUUUCCUGGCAGGGGGCAGGGCUGACCUCCCCUGUAACCACAGUGUCACUGCCUAUGACAGAGUUAUUUGGUACUAUCAGAACCCCGAAGCUGCCCCUCGAGCUGUGAUCUCUGGCUACAAGUCCGUGGAGACGUCGGAGUGGUUUGAACUGUCCAUUGACCCCUCCCGCCGGUCCGCCCCGCUGCGCAUCACCAAGGUGGCGGUGGAGGACUCAGGGGUGUAUUACUGCACCGUGAGAGACACAGUGAGAGGAAAUGCAGGGCGAGCUGACCAGAAACCUUCCCGAGUCUGAGAGUCCUGGGCAGGAAGAGAAGGGAGCUCAGAUAAUCAAAUUACAGGCUGGAUCCUCAAAUGGGGCCAGGAGAAAGGACGCAUGGAACUCCAGUGAGCAAUAAGCUCCCAACUCCCUUAGGCUCCUUUGAAAAUCUCUGUAUCCAAAG